rnacentral:rRNA from 1 species
UACGUAGGCAGCGAGCGUUGUUCGGAGUUACUGGGCGUAAAGGGUGUGUAGGCGGUUGUUUAAGUUUGGUGUGAAAUCUCCCGGCUCAACUGGGAGGGUGCGCCGAAUACUGAAUGACUAGAGUGCGGGAGAGGAAAGUGGAAUUCCUGGUGUAGCGGUGAAAUGCGUAGAUAUCAGGAGGAACACCAAUGGCGAAGGCAGCACUGUGGGACGUGACUGACGCUGAGACGCGCAAGCGUGGGGAGCAAACAGG